UGCACAUUACGAGCAUUCACUGUAGUAAUUUGAAGAAAAUCUUUAGCAAGCUAUGCAGAAGAGUUGCUCAAGCGAUUACAAAACUCUUCCAAAUGACACAGGCUGACAAAUUUGGACAUGAAUGAUGUUGUGCAGAGGCGCAGGCUAUUAAACAAAAAUGCGGCAACUUAGUGCCUUGUUGACCCGCAGAGCCCGAUCCUUGGGGACGAACGGGGACAACGACUCGUCACAUUAGGCGGCAGCUCUCAACGGGCUCUGGAAAAAGGUUCGUUUUGGCUGGGAUUUGGAUUUGAGAAUCUGAAUAUUCGGGGUUCGGGUCGCGUUUACCCUUUUUAAGUGCCAAAUUACCUUUGCGCCGGGCAUGGUCACUGUUGCAUCAUUCGCUUGAUUAAUUGCUCAGCCGUUGGCGCUUGGUCACGUGUCAUGUGCCACACCGAGGUCUGCAACUGCCCCACCGUCGCACCGCCGCCCCGCCGGACUCGGCCUGCUGCAUAGAGAUUUUUGCGCCAAAUUAAUGUUGACAUUUAUAAUAAAUUUACAAAUUGAAAA